UUUUUUUUUUUUUUUCCCUAAGUAUUCAUGCAGCUACCACAAAGUCCAACUGCUUUAUGAAAAAGUAUAUUAUUUUAGUGAUUUCAACAGGGACAUCAUUAUACUCCUUGGUUUGUUAUGAAGUCAUACAAGAAAAGUUUCUGCCAUAAUAAUUAUGGAACUUAAAAUCCCACUCCAACAAGACCUGGGCUUUCUCACAGACUUUCCUAGUAGUGCUCUCACCCACAGAAGUUUCUCAGCAGUAUCAGGUAGUGGGUACUUACCCUUGAAAGUCUUCAGCCAUUCCUCAUUCCUUAUGUAAUUGUUUACAGUAAACCAUACAGGAAUUAGCCAGGUUGCUCUAAUUAGCACUAAUAGGGAUGUUUUCUGCAAGCAUAACAUCACAUGCUGACCUCAAGUAUUUCCAGAACAUCUAAAUACAAACUCUGGCUUUAACAGAACAAGCUGUACAAAUUUAACUAAAGUAACUUUCAGCUUCUCUCUCCUCAGUAAAAGGCAACCAAUCUAACAUUAAUUAUGUAUCUUGGACCAUUUUAAUCUUCAAUUUUAUUUCAUUGUAAACUAAACUAAGUAGGUUAUGAAAAUCUUAAUAUAAAACUUUUCUGCCUCUGGAACGGUGGUAAAAGCUAUAAUAUCUCAUAUAACAAUUUAUAUGCAAUCUUUAUGGAAAAUAUCAUCUUACAAUACCAGUAAUUUUAACAUAGAUUUUUGUCUAUUUCCUUCAAAAGUCACAGUUACUUUGGGAUUUACCCAUAUAAGUUAAUGCUUUGUCUAAUCUAAAUCAAAACAAAGGAAGCUGGGUUCUGAUAUAACUACCUGUAAAGUGUAUCAUGCUCACAGUGCCAUCCAUACUGACUCACCCUUUAUUUGGGAUGACCUGAAAGAGCUGAGCUUCCUGAUUUUUCUUCUUGAAAUUCCUGUGGCCAACACAAAUUUGUGGUUCCCACAAACUGUGAUUAAUACUCUCAUGCUACCUUUUUUUUAAUUCCUGGUCACUAAAUAAACAACUGACACAAGGAGGAAGCAUCACCAGCCUCACUUGAAUAAGUGUGGUGCCUCAGGCCAGAGAAGUAAAACAGCAGGGAUGGAACAGGAUCUCCUGGUGCUGGUGCCAUUCAUUAGUCCCUACUGCCACUGGCCAUGCCUUUAUUGUUUCUAACACAACUAAAGCCAUUUAUUCAUUCACAUAUUUCUUUGUAAUCAGGCUUACAUUUGAGUCAUAGAGAACAUAAAAAAUGGUGGAAAAAACCAACUCGCACACAAUCAGGCUUUUUUGUCAAACAAUCCAGUAUUAAAAUUGAACACAGUUAAAGGAAAACAAGCUCUUUGCAGGUAAUCUUCCAGUAAGGGCAUUAAGUUUAAGGUACAACACCAGGGAAAGUACCUGGGUACUUGGCUCAGAAACCUGUGAUUUUCCAUCCCCACCCUGCUCCCCGCCCAAGUGGGACUUUUUUAAGAGGUAAGGAAAAAACCCAGAUAUUUUAAUCCAGAGUAAUCAAAGAUUUUUGUCUUUUAAAAACAAAAGGACUGGAGUGGAAGCAUUUAAUUCUGCUUUUAGCAGCCCAGCAAGUAAUGACACAGCAUUUCUGCAAGGAGAGGGAAGCAGCACAGCCUAGCAGGUCGCUCACUGCCCUCUGAACUCUCCUGCCACCAAAGCGAUCGACAAACCACCCCUGUGCACACGGCCGGCCCUGACAAAGGUCUGGCUGGGAACGGUUGUGAAGGGUGGCUGGAAAACAACAAAUACCUUACACCUGUGAGCCAGGGCUACCGAGAAGUGCUUGCUUUGUGUCAGGCUGUGCAAACAGCGGAGGAGAUAAGGAAGUUAGGAGUUUCCUUACCACCAUGCUGGGGAUGCAAUGACAGGACACAAGAGGUGACCUUGUCAAACAGCUCUUUCUUCCUUGAGCAUCUGACUAAACAAGCAAAACAGGCAACUUUGCUAGAACAGAAGAGAAAAUGAGAUGAUAUCUCUGUUCACUUGGUAAAACCAGUUCAUUAGCAGAUUCUUAAGAAAAACUAGGGCUACACUAGACUAAGCCGCUACUAUUUUCUAUGGAAAUAAAAGUAUUAGCAUGCUCUUCUUACUUCCUCUUUGCAUUUGUAUCUCUUUUAAGCAAAAGACAGUGCUGGGCCAGAUAGGGUUGUAAUAGCCAAAAAUUAUUUGGGAUCACACAAUUCCAUAGAGUCUACCAUAAAUGAAUCCCUUUACAUACUCAAUACUACAAGGCAUAAAGAGUACACAUAGGAAAGGCAAUAUGCUCUGGAUAGCAAAAGGUGUGAAAUUUUUGGAAGAAAACCAGAGGGUAAAACCAAACUGAAGAUAAGGAAAAAGACAGGGCAUCAGAUAUAACCAGGGGGAUGGUUCUGCAAGGAAGACCUACAAUAUGACACCAUAUUCAAAAAAGGAAGUUAUUUAAAAGUAUGAAUGGGGAAAAAAAUGAACAAUGCGGGGGGAAAAUGAACACGCAAUGGGAAAAAAAAAGCAACCAGGAAAUACAUGAGUUGAGCUAUAAACUAGAAGGCAGCUGCAUAACAAUAGACAGGUAUAAAAAAACAGAUAGCAAAAACAAGGGAUACAUUAUAGAUAUCAUAUCCUCAGGAGAUAGCAGUGGUAAAGAAAAAGGAGACUAAUUUAGCAAUUCAGUAUAAUAAGUAAGCCCCAGUGCACAAGUUUAUCUGUUAUUUGGUUUGUUUCCUACAAGCACAAUCAAAACAGAGACAAGGCACCCUUCCAAAGGGUGACUAAGAUGGGCUUCAUGGAGGAACAACCUUCAGACAGGAAUAAGCAACGGAGUCCUAUCUCCAAAGUUUUGAAAAUAUAGAAACCAUAAAAAAGGACUGGAAAAAGGAGACAAAUACUAUACACUGUUGAAGGCUGAGCACCAUUUCUGUUCACAGCAGAAAUCAAGGGGAUGGCACAGUUAUUAACAAGGGUUGAGGAAAUAGAUGGGCAUCCAUUAAGCCACAUCCAGAAUUUGAGUUCACUCUACUUUUUUGCACAAAGAGUGCUAUGACUCAUCUGUUGUUGUCACCUGAGCAACUCAGAUGUAAAUUAUAUGGUCAACACAUUUCCAGGAAAUACUGCAAAAGUAAAAAUAUUUGGGGCCUCAUUACUGUGACGCUCACCACACGUAAAUGUCAACACAACCUAAUUACCACUGGGGUUUGUACUACCACACAGAACUAGGACCACCAAAGUGGAUCCCCUGUUACUCCAUCUCACAGUUAUGCUGCAUUCAGAGGCUCUCACAUUAGCUCUAAAAAUGAGGAACAGUUAUGCUAAAAUUACUUUUUUAACUGACUUUGUAGAAUCCAGCCCAGAUUUCGUUCCCAGUCUACUUUCCAGGCCCACUAAUGAGUGUGUCCUGAGUGCCCAGUACUGAGCAGCUUCAACAUACAACAUAGUCAAACCAAACUUAAACAGCCCCUCAUAAUAUUCAACUAUGACAAUCUGGAAUUAAAAAAAGCAGCACUUGACAUUAUAACAAGUUAGAGUCCCACAGAAACAAACAAUAUGUUUUAUAAAACAAAAGCUGCAACCCAGGCUGUCUUAAUUCUGAGAUGUGUAAGUUCAGUCCCUUAUUGUACAGCUUUGAAUUUUUUCCUUAAUCCAUUCUACAAUAAAAUACCUGUUUAUAAUCCAGAAAUUUAAGUAAGUGUGGAGAUAAUUUAACAAAAAAAAAAAAAAAA
ensembl:lncRNA